GCCAGCGCCAUAUCUCCCUGCAGUUCUUGCCUGGUUUCUGACUGAAGCUAAGCAGGGUUGAGCCUGGUAAGUACCUGGAUGGGGGAACUCCUGGGGGGAAAACUAAGGUUGCUGCUGGAA
rnacentral:rRNA from 1 species